ACUCGUUCGACCUUUUCCUCGUCGACUUUCCUCUUCACAGGGAAAAUUCCCGCCCAUAAGAAGCCUGCAAAGUCUAUUGUUUUUAACCCAACAAUCCCUUAUGUUUUUAGGGUAAAGCCACUCAACUAGGGUUAACUUUUCGGGAUUCAGCGCUACUUGCUUCUAUAUUCAAUGGCGACAGUACCAGUGAACCCAAAGCCUUUCUUGAACAAUUUGACAGGGAAGCCUGUCAUGGUGAAGCUUAAAUGGGGAAUGGAAUAUAAAGGGUAUCUUGUUUCGGUGGAUUCAUACAUGAACUUGCAGCUAGCAAACACUGAAGAAUACAUUGAUGGGCAAUUAUCUGGGAACCUUGGAGAGAUUCUCAUCAGGUGCAACAAUGUUCUCUACCUAAGAGGUGUACCAGAGGAUGAAGAAGUAGAAGAUGCUGAUUAAGUUUCAGAAUCUGAGGAAAUCAUCUAUCAGGAUGAAAAUUAGAAAUUUGUUAUUUGUAUUGUUUCUUCUUGUUAUUCGAGGAUAGCUUUUGAUGGGCUCUUGAUAUUUAUUGAAGCAGCUUGUUUGUGUAUCUGGUAUCUGUUUGCUGCAUGUAUUUGUUCAUAUAUUACUUACUUAAAAGCUGGCUUCAAUGGAAGAUUGAAUCUAUUAUGCAAGGCAAAGUGAAGGUCCUUUAACCAUUGUUGCCGAAUGAAACAUGUGUUCAUAUUCAGCAACCACCAAUGUGAUGUUAAUAGAAAUGAUGGUACCAUCUAAUCCAA